rnacentral:rRNA from 1 species
CAGUAGCCACGGGAAUACGUAGGUGGCAAGCGUUGUCCGGAAUUAUUGGGCGUAAAGGGCUCGCAGGCGGUUUCAUAAGUCUGAUGUGAAAGCCCCCGGCUCAACCGGGGAGGGUCAUUGGAAACUGGGAAACUUGAGUGCAGAAGAGGAGAGUGGAAUUCCACGUGUAGCGGUGAAAUGCGUAGAGAUGUGGAGGAACACCAGUGGCGAAGGCGACUCUCUGGUCUGUAACUGACGCUGAGGAGCGAAAGCGUGGGGAGCGAACAGGAUUAGAUACCCGCGUAGUCCCUGUCUCUUAUAC